rnacentral:rRNA from 1 species
UACGGAGGGUGCGAGCGUUGUCCGGAAUCAUUGGGCGUAAAGGGCGCGUAGGUGGCCCGGUCAGUUCGUGGUGAAAGCGCGGGGCUCAACCCUGCGUCGGCCAUGAAUACUGCCGCGGCUGGAGCACUGUAGAGGCAGGCGGAAUUCCGGGGUGUAGCGGUGGAAUGCGUAGAGAUCCGGAAGAACACCGGUGGCGAAGGCGGCCUGCUGGGCAGUUAGCUGCACUGAGGCGCGACAGCGUGGGGGAGCAAACAGG